AGUGGAUGGGGAGCAACCUAGUUGUGCGUGUGUAAAGGUAGUGCCAAGAAAAGCGAUGAUCAUGUUGAAAAUCAAUUCCCGGUACCCGAAACCGACACAGGUGGGCAAGUAGAGAAUACUAAGGGGCGCGAGGUAACUCUCUCCAAGGAACUCGGCAAAAUGACCCCGUAACUUAGGGAGAAGGGGUGCCACCGAGAGGUGGUCGCAGUGAAGAGGCCCAGGCGACUGUUUAGCAAAAACAUAGGUCUCUGCAAACUCGAAAGAGGAGGUAUAGGGGCUGACGCCUGCCCAGUGCCGGAAGGUUAAAGAAGUUGGUCAGUUUUAGGAUGAAGCUAGCGACUGAAGCCCCGGUGAACGGCGGCCGUAACUAUAACGGUCCUAAGGUAGCGAAAUUCCUUGUCGGGUAAGUUCCGACCCGCACGAAAGGCGUAACGAUCUGGGCGCUGUCUCGGAGAGAGGCUCGGCGAAAUAGGAUUGUCUGUGAAGAUACGGACUACCUGCAUUUGGACAGAAAGACCCUAUGAAGCUUUACUAUAGCUUGGAAUUGUGUUCGGGCUUCCUGUGCGCAGGAUGGGUGGGAGGCGUAGAAGGUAUUCUUGUGGGGAUACUGGAGCCAACGGUGAGAUACCACUCUCAGGAGGCUAGAAUUCUAACUUAAUUAAGGACAGUUUCAGGUGGGUAGUUUGACUGGGGCGGUCGCCUCCAAAAAGGUAACGGAGGCGUACAAAGGUUCCCUCAGACUGGUUGGAAAUCAGUCGAAGAGUGCAAAGGCAGAAGGGAGCUUGACUGCGAGAAGUACAGUUCGAGCAGGGUGGAAACACGGUCUUAGUGAUCCGACGGUGCUGUGUGGAAGGGCCGUCGCUCAACGGAUAAAAGUUACUCUAGGAUAACAGGCUGAUCUCCCCCAAGAGUUCACAUCGACGGGGAGGUUUGGCACCUCGAUGUCGGCUCAUCGCAACCUGGGGCGGAAGUACGUCCCAAGGGUUGGGCUGUUCGCCCAUUAAAGCGGUACGUGAGCUGGGUUCAGAACGUCGUGAGACAGUUCGGUCCAUAUCCGAUGUAGGCGUGAGAAUAUUGAGAGGAGCCUUCCUUAGUACGAGAGGACCGGGAAGGACGCACCGCUGGUGUACCUGUUAUGAUGCCAAUUGUAAACGCAGGGUAGCCAAGUGCGGAGAGGAUAACCGCUGAAAGCAUCUAAGUGGGAAGCCCACCUCAAGAUGAGUAUUCUGGUGUAAGGUCACGGGAAGACGACCCGUAAAUAGGCACGAGGUGGAAGUGCAGAGAUGUAUGAAGCCGAAGUGUACUAAUAGACCGUCGGCUUGACC
rnacentral:rRNA from 1 species